UACGUAGGUGGCAAGCGUUGUUCGGAAUUACUGGGCGUAAAGCGCGUGUAGGCGGCUCUUCAAGUCAGACGUGAAAGCCCCGGGCUUAACUCGGGAACUGCGUUUGAUACUGUCGAGCUAGAGUGUGGAAGGGGCGAUUGGAAUUCCGUGUGUAGCGGUGAAAUGCGUAGAUAUCACUUGGAACGCCAAUGGUGAAAACAGCUCGCUGGGAAUGAUCUGACACUGAGACGCGAAAGCCAGGGGAGCGAACGGG
rnacentral:rRNA from 1 species